rnacentral:rRNA from 1 species
UUACCCCUUGGUGAUUCAUGACUGGGGUGAAGUCGUAACAAGGUAACCGUAGGGGAACCUGCGGUUGGAUCACCUCCUUACCUUAAAGAA